rnacentral:rRNA from 1 species
CCUACGGGAGGCAGCAGUGGGGAAUCUUAGACAAUGGGGGCAACCCUGAUCUAGCCAUGCCGCGUGAGUGAUGAAGGCCUUAGGGUUGUAAAGCUCUUUCACCGAUGAAGAUAAUGACGGUAGUCGGAGAAGAAGCCCCGGCUAACUCCGUGCCAGCAGCCGCGGUAA